AAGUCGUAACAAGGUUUCCGUAGGUGAACCUGCGGAAGGAUCAUUAAUAGUAUAUGUUUGGUGAUUUCCACAGCUGCUCCGGCGGUUUCAUCAGACAUUCAUGUGGAUGUUCCGUGUUACCGUCUAUUUGUACUUGGUGAGUUGUGGAUGCUUUGUUUGACAAAUGAGAAAGCAGCUUGCCAAAGUUUACUAUUUCCAAACCAAAUGAACGUUUCAACGCGUCAAGCGUCUAUUAAUAAGUACAACUGUUAGCAAUGGAUCACUCGGUUCUC
rnacentral:misc_RNA from 1 species